AACGCUGGCGGCGUGCCUAAUACAUGCAAGUCGAGCGAGCUUGCCUAUAGAAGUUCUUCGGAAUGGAAAUAGAUACAAGCUAGCGGCGGAUGGGUGAGUAACGCGUGGGUAACCUGCCCUUAAGUCUGGGAUACCAUUUGGAAACAGAUGCUAAUACCGGAUAAAAGCUACUUUCGCAUGAAAGAAGUUUAAAAGGCGGCGUAAGCUGUCGCUAAAGGAUGGACCUGCGAUGCAUUAGCUAGUUGGUAAGGUAACGGCUUACCAAGGCGAUGAUGCAUAGCCGAGUUGAGAGACUGAUCGGCCACAUUGGGACUGAGACACGGCCCAAACUCCUACGGGAGGCAGCAGUAGGGAAUCUUCCACAAUGGACGAAAGUCUGAUGGAGCAACGCCGCGUGAGUGAAGAAGGUUUUCGGAUCGUAAAGCUCUGUUGUUGGUGAAGAAGGAUAGAGGUAGUAACUGGCCUUUAUUUGACGGUAAUCAACCAGAAAGUCACGGCUAACUACGUGCCAGCAGCCGCGGUAAUACGUAGGUGGCAAGCGUUGUCCGGAUUUAUUGGGCGUAAAGCGAGCGCAGGCGGAUUGAUAAGUCUGAUGUGAAAGCCUUCGGCUCAACCGAAGAACUGCAUCAGAAACUGUCAAUCUUGAGUGCAG
rnacentral:rRNA from 1 species